ensembl:lncRNA
UUGCAUUAAGCGAUCUUUUAUUCCCCACGUUCAUGCACACAGCACUCUAUUCUUGCCUGGGCGUCUUUCUCGCUCACAGAUUUCCUGGAGAAUCUCUGUCUCCAGGGUCAGAGUUUUGCUUUCUGUUUCUGAAGCACCUUUCAGACACGGCAAUGGGCAGCAGCCGUCUUCCGAUUCCUUUCUACAUUCAGUAAAGGACACAUUUGUCCCGAGUGUGUGUGUAUGUGAGAGAGAGAAAUAUACAGAUUCCAGGUCUCAGGCAGCAGGCAAGACAACAGGAGGUGAAAUCAACGUGGGGGCACUCAGAAAAAAAGAAGCGCCAAGUUGUGAAAAUGGUUUCCCGUGAGAGAAGGAAAUGGACUGAGGGGGAUGGAGGCGCUGUUUCCUUAACAGAGAAUUCGACAACUACUUAGCCCUUUCACUACGUGGAUGUAUAAACUGAAAGUCUGUGGCCGGCACCCCCCUGCAAUGCGUGGGUCCCGGGACCCUGCUCUUCGCAGCACUCCGUCCACAGCUCACACCCCCAGCCUGGCAGAGCCCCUCCUAUGCAGGCGGCCUGCGGCCCAGGGAACGGCUACAAGGUCCUGCUUGAGGAAUGAGCCCCUGUCACUCCUGGCGUCCUCCUUCCCCAACGUCUGCUGCCUGGGCCCACGUAACACCGGGGUCCUGCUGCUCAUCGUCUUCCUUAGAUCUCAAGCCCAGGUUCGCCAGUUGCCACUGCCUGUUCUUGAGGGCUGCACGCCGGGUCCCCAGAGUUCACGUUUCCUUGUCCUGGCCCCCAGGCAGCCCCUCCCUGGCCUGGCCCUACUCGGGCGGUUUCUCGGUGUUCCAGGUCACUCCAUGUGGGCAUCUGUGCCGUCAGUCUUGAUCACCUUAUUGGCGGGACUAAGGGGUGGCGGUGCUGGGUUCUUGAAGCCACAGGAGGCCUGAGGCUUGUUUGCCGUCACCAUAGAAACCGCGUGCCCGCACUUGGGCGGGGCCUCCGGAGGGGCGUGGUCAGAGGGGGAGCCCCGCCCCCCACCGUGCAAGGGGACGCCGGGCAGCUCCUGGACUCGGGCUCAAGCCCGCGCCCUGGGCCUCGGGAGGCAGGAGGCCCGUGGGAGGCCGCUUGGCGCUGCUAAACUGGCUGGAGGAGCUACCCCUCUGCCAGCGGUGGCGCAGUGACGGGCAGGCCACUGACGUCUGAUUCCAGAAGGGAUAAAGGACAGGCGUGGCGGGGUGAACCGAGGGCCGGCUGGAAUGGGAAGGGCCGUCUAGGGAAGAGUCGCUCUGGGCAAAGAGCCCGGCGGAGGAAUUUUGUGCAAAACUCUCGGGGAUGGGGUCACGUGGGGAGGGGAACGCACGACGUCACAAACGACCCAUUGUGGCGCAAGCGGAGCCUAGGCUGGGACUGGCCGCCAGAUCCACCUCCACCUGGGUGUAAACCUGGUUUGGGCAGAUUUCCUCCUCCGUUCUCCCCUGAAGCUGCUACCUAGAAUGGAUGACCCCACCAGCUGUGCACCACAAGUGACAUCUAACUUGGGACACAGCUCUAGCAACACUUCCACCAUGGGCAGAGAAGGCCACUGCUGCCCCUCAGCCUGCAGCCUAAGGCCACCAAUCCUGGGAGAUGGCUCCACCACCUCUGGGUUCAAAUGCUGACAAGGGGCCUUGAAGCCACAAAUGAUGAACGACACCACAAACGUUCUCACCGUGAGGUUAAGAAGACAGUCCCUCCCGGACGGAACCGACAGGACAGUAUCCAGUACUUUAAAGGGAAGACUUGACAACUGCUGCUCCAGCUGCCCUCACAGAUGUUACUCCCAAAAGGAUGAGAACCGGAAGUCGGGUUCUAGGCUUGUCCAGCCCUCUGCCACACCCAGCUCGCACCUGGGCCUGAUGCACUGGGAAACAAACAAUUCCAGGAGGGAAGCCUGCAACACCAACACUUCAGAAUUUGCUCAUUCAUCUUACCUGCCAGUUCUCCAUUUGCUAAUUCAUUUCCUCCUGCAUUAUUGCCCUGAGACUCAGAUUCCCAAUAUAGUGGAUUCAUCUAUCGAUGCAUUAGUGACAGUCUAGGACAGCAACAGGAUAGUACUAGAAAGAGCCUUCUAAGUUGAAUUAAGCAGAUUUUCCAAGUGUGCUCAUGCGGAUGAGCUUACAUCGAUAUUAUCAUCCUGGUGAGUCACAGCUCCUUCCAGACCCUUCUGAGACUUCUCCAACCACGUGAUUUCUCCACUUAGCUCCACAUACUCAGUUUGCACCUUACUGCAGUUUUCAAUUUCCUGCUGGAACUGAAAAGCCAAAAGCUGCGUUCUUUUUGUCUCAGUCUUGCUCCUGAGACACUGAGCCUCCUCUGCCCCGUCUCCCUGAACGCUCAAGAAGGGGCAGAGCAGUGGGCUGAGCCCGAGGGAAGACGAGGGUUCAUAGGAUGAAGUGGUGAGGAGUCAGCGCAGGACACAGAGCCGCCGGAGCCUCACCAGAACUGGAGUAGGUGUGCGUUGUGGAAAUGGGAGGACCAGCAGGGAAACGGGAAAUGCUUUUCCCAUCUCCCCCUUCAUUGCCCUUUCUACUCUGCUUUUCCGAGUCCAAGUCCCCACAGGCAGCAAGGGGGAAAAUAUCCCACAGAAAUCCAGGGAGAAAGACCUUUGCUUUCCAAGGACUUGUCUAGUCAACAUGCAAGAGAAAAACUCACAAUGACAGGUCCACUAUAAUGAGGAAAUCAGGAAAGGUGUUCUCAGUUAUAUAGAAAGAUUUGCACCAAAGCUCUGGCCACUUUGGUUAGGUUCAGUCUUCUGCAAAACUAAUUUCUAGAGAAUGGCUUGUUCCCAAUUAUGUGAGGUAACUGAGGGAUUGGGGCUAUCACCGCGUAUGCCCUUCUCUCUCCUCAAUUAGCAUAUUAAAUAGCACCUCGGGUAGAAAUCAAGUCCAGUACUUUGAUUAAGCACUACUGAAUGUGCUUAAGAGAUGGGAGGGUAUGGAAGAAUCUGUGAGUGGAAGACAUGAUUUCUUUUUGGCAGGGGCUGGAGUCAGAAAUCUGGCCACCAUGUGAGAAUGAGCUGUGAGUACCAAUGACGUGUGUCCGAGCGUUGGUCUCAGUGCACCCAGUACUUUGGGUUUCACGUUGUCUUGUGUAAAAUAAAUGCUACCAAAGUUUGGUGUGAAAAAUUACACACUUCUUUACAUCAGAAAGGGAUCCCUUCAUUGACUAGAAGGAUAGACAUGUUGAAAAUGUCUCAGACUUUGUAAGAACUCAGAAACACUGCAAACAAAACAAAGCAGACCAUUGGAUAGAAAUGGUCCAUUGAAUAGAAAAACACUAAAAAUAAAAAUUCUGUAGUGUUGGACAUUACAUAAUCUACAUUUCCAAAUGAAAAACUUUUUGAGCACAAUGAUACCUAAUCAAAUUAGUAAAUUUGGAAACAUAGGAAUUAGGAAAAAUAAUAAAAAAUUACACUUUGUCCCCAGUGAAUGAGUAUUUUGUGAUAUUUCCCUCCAAUGCGUGCCUCUCUCUUUCAAGAAUAAACAGCUAUA